GUGGAUGAGGCAUGCAAGUCGAACGCAAUUAGGUAGCAAUAUCUGAUUGAGUGGCGGAAGGGUUAGUAAUACAUGGGCAACCUGCCUUUAACCUGGGGAUAACAGUUGGAAACGACUGCUAAUACCGAAUGAGGUGCUAACGGGGGAUCCUGAAAGCAUCAAAGUGGGGGAUCGCAAGACCUUGCGGUUAAAGAGGGGCCCAUGGGAUAUCAGCUAGUUGGAGUGGUAAUGGCACACCAAGGCUAAGACGUCUAGGCGGAUUGAGAGAUUG
rnacentral:rRNA from 1 species